rnacentral:tRNA from 1 species
CUGCAGGUAUCAUUCAGUGGUAGAGAGCUUGCCUAGUAUGCAUGAGUCCCGGGUUUGAUCCCCAGCAUGAAGA